rnacentral:rRNA from 1 species
GUGGGGAAUUUUGCGCAAUGGGGGAAACCCUGACGCAGCAACGCCGCGUGCGGGACGAAGGCCCUCGGGUCGUAAACCGCUUUCAGCAGGGAAGAGAUUGACGGUACCUGCAGAAGAAGCUCCGGCUAACUACGUGCCAGCAGCCGCGGUAAUACGUAGGGGGCGAGCGUUAUCCGGAUUCAUUGGGCGUAAAGCGCGCGUAGGCGGCCGCCUAAGCGGGACCUCUAACCCCGGGGCUCAACCCCGGGCCGGGUCCCGGACUGGGCGGCUCGAGUGCGGUAGAGGAGAGCGGAAUUCCCGGUGUAGCGGUGGAAUGCGCAGAUAUCGGGAAGAACACCGAUGGCGAAGGCAGCUCUCUGGGCCGUCACUGACGCUGAGGCGCGAAAGCCGGGGGAGCGAACAGG